GUCUACGGCCAUACCACCCUGAAAGCACCCGAUCUCGUCUGAUCUCGGAAGCUAAGCAGGGUCGGGCCUGGUUAGUACUUGGAUGGGAGUCUUUAUGUUAACAGUAAAGAAAAAGAUU
rnacentral:rRNA from 1 species